UAGUUAUAAUUACCAUUUCAAUACAACAGAACAAAAGUCUCUAUGUUGACAGAAACAAUAUCAAAGUGGAACACAGGCCUCAUACUAUCAUCUAGAAUGUCUCAAUUUCACAUUCUCUUUGGAAAUACAGAGGAUUUUUCACUUCACUUUUCCUUUCCAGAACAUCCAACAAAACAUUUAAAUCAGUUAGUAAAAAUAUACACAUAUAAGAGCAUUGAUUUUUUUUUUUGAGACGGAGGCUUAAAGAUUAUCUCUCAUUCAAUCCCCUUCACUUUUUUUUUUUACUUUUUAAUUUUUUUAAUGUUUAUUUUUAAGAGAGGAAGAGAGAACGUGCAAGCCUGUGCACACAUGUGGGAGAGGGAAGGGCAGAGAGAGGGAGACAGAAGAUCUGAAGCGGCCUCAACACUGACUGAAGCAGAGAGCCCUAUGCUGGGCUUGAACUCAUGGAACUGGGAGAUCAUGACCUCAGCUGAAGUCAAUGCUUAACCCACUGACCCACUCAGGCGCCCCAAUCCCCUUCAUUUUAAAGAUGAGAAAAUAAAACCAAGAAAGGGUGAUUCACCCAAGACCACACAAUAUAUUAAACAAGAAUUCCUCUAUUAUUUGUACCUAUGCCCCACAAAAUAGCCCAUUUUUCUAAAACAAUAGAAUAAAUUAUUUUGCAGAUCUACUGAAGUACCAUGCUACCUUCAAGACAAUCAGAGCAUUAUGACUACUAUCAACAAAGGAAACCUGAUUUGGCUGGUCAAGGAUGCAACUGAGGCCUUUGAUUUGAAAUGAACUCCCAAUAAACAUGGUAAACUUGAAGUGACAUGAUCCCUAAGCAUACUACAGUAUUUUGUUCUGAGACGGAAAAGCCUUGGAGUGUCAAAAACAACAGCACAACUCCACGUGUAUUUGGCCACUAUCUGCUGAAGAGAAGAGUAAUAUCAAGAAUAACAUGACCAUAUUCCUGUAUGUAAAGAUCAACUGACCAAGGGCAAAAAAGUUAUACAACUUUCUCAGUUGUCUACAGAUGCCAGUUACCUUCUGACUCCAACCCCAUCGUGUUUCCCACUGUUUCUAACAUAAAAGGAGCUCAAAUCUCAUGCUUGACUAAUAGGCGUAUUGUGUGGCAAGCAGAAGGAGCUUGGACUCAGUUACAAGGCAAUUUAUGAUUUAUUGUGCAUAUCUGAAAUUAAAAGCCAGAAGCAAACAAUUAUUUUAACAAGCUGUCAAGAUAUGCAGAGUUUUGCCAAAGAAACAUUGUUUAUACUGGUCUUUUGAACAAGAACUAAAACUUAGAAUUCCCUAAUCAAACCUGUUACACAAAAUUGUCAUAAAAUUCCUAUAAAGCAUAUGACUCACAAAUGCUAUCAAAAUCUUUCUUAAAUGUGACUGAUUUCCAAUAGAUUACCACAGUUUUAAAACUCUGAUAAUUUCCUGCCCAUUUUUCUUUAAGAUUUUAUUUUCUAUUGCUUGAAAAGAGAGGACAAAAGAGCAUCACAGGAUUAUCUACUAUUAUUAUUGAAUUUUAUUACAAUCUUGAAAAAAUACCCAACUGUUGACUUCCUGUUCCUCUGCCACUAAUCUCCCUGUGGCAGGUGCAACUCCAAUUCUCCAGAGUUGUAGGGGAAGGGAAAGAAAUCUAAAUAACAGGUUGCUACCAUUCUCUAAUUCAAAACCAACUUACUACUCUUUUUAUUUACUGCUAUCAUCUCCUCCUCCAAUAGUCCUGGGUCCCCUUGACACCAAUCUUUUCUAUAGCACUUAUCUCCUAAUACACCACAUAAUUCACAUUUUAAAUAUAUAUGUAUUUAAUUAUAUAUAUAAUAUAUAUUUAACUGUAUCUAUUUAAAUAAAUUAAUUAUAUUAU